rnacentral:lncRNA from 1 species
CAAAGUACUGUUGUGGAGACAACAACAGAGCUUCCACCUCCUGUGCAUCCCUUGGCGGGUCAGGUUCAGCAAGGGGUACCUGUGAAGCUGAGGAUGUGCCUAAAUUAGACUUCCAUAGGCAAACCCCUGUUUGUUGCACCAAAGCAACCUCCCCUCCAUUCAGAAGAUAAUGCUGACAGUUUUACCCUGAGAUAUUCUUUCUUCUCAAACACCUUUUUUUUUUUUUUUUUUUUUUUUGAG